rnacentral:rRNA from 1 species
UGGGGAAUAUUGCACAAUGGGGGAAACCCUGAUGCAGCGACGCCGCGUGAACGAAGAAGGUAUUCGUAUCGUAAAGUUCUGUCCUAUGGGAAGAUAAUGACAGUACCAUAGAAGAAAGCUCCGGCUAAAUACGUGCCAGCAGCCGCGGUAAUACGUAUGGAGCGAGCGUUGUCCGGAAUUAUUGGGCGUAAAGGGUACGCAGGCGGUUUAAUAAGUCGAAUGUUAAAGAUCGGGGCUCAACCCCGUAAAGCAUUGGAAACUGAUAAACUUGAGUAGUGGAGAGGAAAGUGGAAUUCCUAGUGUAGUGGGGAAAUACGUAGAUAUAAGGAGAAAUACCAGUAGCGAAAGCGACUUUCUGGACACAAACUAACGCUGAGGUACGAAAGCGUGGGGAGCAAACAGG